UACGAAGGGGGCUAGCGUUGCUCGGAAUCACUGGGCGUAAAGGGUGCGUAGGCGGGUUUUUAAGUCAGAGGUGAAAUCCUGGAGCUCAACUCCAGAACUGCCUUUGAUACUGAGAAUCUUGAGUACGGGAGAGGUGAGUGGAACUGCGAGUGUAGAGGUGAAAUUCGUAGAUAUUCGCAAGAACACCAGUGGCGAAGGGCGGCUCACUGGCCCGGUACUGACGCUGAGGUGCGAAAGCGUGGGGAGCAAACAGGAGUUAAGAAA
rnacentral:rRNA from 1 species